GUGAAACAAAUCUGAAAGUCCGUCAGGCUUUGAGUGUGACCUCAGAUUUGGGAAAUGUUUCAACACUAACGGAGUUUGAUGGAGAAGUCAUUUGUGAACCACCGAACAACAAACUGGAUAAAUUCACAGGAACGUUGUACUGGAGAAAUAAUAAAUACUCUUUGGAUAAUGAAAAGAUGCUUUUAAGAGGUUGCGUUCUGAGAAACACGGAGUGGUGCUUUGGAAUGGUCAUCUUUGCUGGGCUACAAACCAAGCUGAUGCAGAACUCUGGAAAGACUAAAUUCAAAAGGACCAGCAUUGAUAAACUAAUGAACACGCUAGUAUUAUGG